rnacentral:rRNA from 1 species
UACCAGCUCCUCGAGUGGUUGGGACGAUUAUUGGGUCUAAAGCGUCCGUAGCCGGCCGGAAAAGUUCUCCGUUAAAUCCAACGAUCCAAUCGUUGGGCCGCGGGGAAUACUCUUCGGCUUGGGGGCGAGGGAGGUCGGCGGUAGUCUCGGGGUAGGGGCGAAAUCCUAUAAUCCCGAGAGGACCACCAGUGGCGAAGGCGGCCGACUAAAGCGCGCCCGACGGUGAGGGACGAAAGCUGGGGGAGCGAAC